CAGCGCCACGAGUGGGAAUCGCGAUUAUUGGGCCUAAAGCGUCCGUAGCCGGUUUGAUAAAUCUUUAGUGAAAUCGUCCAGCUUAACUGGACGGCGUGCUAGAGACACUGUCAAACUAGGAACCGGGAGGAGUUAGAAGUAUAUUUGGGGGAGCGGUAAAAUGCAAUAAUCCCAAAUGGACUACCUGUGGCGAAGGCGUCUAACUAGUACAGUUCUGACGGUCAGGGACGAAAGCUAGGGGAGCGAUCCGGAUUAGAUACCCGAGUAGUCC
rnacentral:rRNA from 1 species